GUGGGUGUGGCUGAAGCUAAGAGCACUUGUUGCUCUUGUAAAUAUCUGGGUUCAAUUCCCAUCACCCACA
rnacentral:tRNA from 1 species